GAUGAACGCUGACAGAAUGCUUAACACAUGCAAGUCUUUGGCGAAGCUGUGCUUUCACAGCCUAGCCAAGGCGGACGGGUGAGUAACGCGUAAUGAACUUUCUCUGCAGUCAUGGAUAACAGACGGAAACGACUGAUACGACCUGGUAAAGUCAGGCGGACUCAUGUCCAGCCUGAUGAAAAGAGAUGCUGCGGGAGAGCCUUGCGUCCUAUUAGCUUGUUGGUGGGGUAACGGCCUACCAAGGCGAUGAUAGGUAGCCGGCCUGAGAGGGUGGACGGCCACAAGGGGAGUGAGAUACGGCACUUACACCUACGGGAGGCAGCAGUGGGGAAUAUUGGACAAUGGGGGCAACACUGAUCCAGCAAUUCUGUGUGCACGAUGAAGGUUUUCGGAUUGUAAAGUGCUUUCAGCAGGGAAGAAAAAAAUGACGGUACCUGCAGAAGAAGCGACGGCUAAAUACGUG
rnacentral:rRNA from 1 species